AUCUGCAAGUCAUAAAUUCUCCCAUUGACUUUAUCAAGUCAUGAAGAGGAUUAGAUACAAGCUGGUCUAAAAAUAUCUAAAUCAGUCAUACUGAUUUACGUUAAUGGCAUGGGUCAGCUCGAAUCGACUAGUGACCUAAUCAAAAUAUAAUCCCCCAUGUUGGCCAGAUAAGUGCAGUCAGUGGAAGGGAUAUGCCAUUAACUCACCAC
rnacentral:lncRNA from 1 species